rnacentral:rRNA from 1 species
UGGGGAAUAUUGGACAAUGGGCGGAAGCCUGAUCCAGCAACGCCGCGUGAGGGAUGACGGCCUUCGGGUUGUAAACCUCUUUCAGUACCGACGAAGCGAAAGUGACGGUAGGUACAGAAGAAGGACCGGCCAACUACGUGCCAGCAGCCGCGGUAAUACGUAGGGUCCGAGCGUUGUCCGGAAUUAUUGGGCGUAAAGGGCUCGUAGGCGGUUUGUCGCGUCGGGAGUGAAAAACAGCGGGCUUAACUCGUUGCUUGCUUUCGAUACGGGCAGACUAGAGGUAUGCAGGGGAGAAUGGAAUUCCUGGUGUAGCGUGGAAAUGCGCAGAUAUCAGGAGGAACACCGGUGGCGAAGGCGGUUCUCUGGGCAUUACCUGACGCUGAGGAGCGAAAAGUGUGGGGAGCGAACAGGAUUAGAUACCCUGGUAGUCCACACCGUAAAACGUUGGGCGCUAGGUGUGGGGUCCUUUCCACGGAUUCCGUGCCGUAGCUAACGCAUUAAGCGCCCCGCCUGGGGGAGUACGGCCGCAAGGCU